rnacentral:lncRNA from 1 species
UUUUUAGUCAUUUUGUAUUUCACUCGCUUGGGGUGCAGCUCGCGGUCGCAUCCUAUGCAGCUCGCGUGCGCAUCCUAUGCAGCGCGCUGCGCCUAUCUGGAGGUUCCAUGGGCCUCCUCUCCCCACUGCAUCGCCCUUCCCGGCGGCCUACUGCAAACAUGGCGAGUAGAGUAUCAGGAGACGCAUAGUGCUCUUCUGCAUUUCAUUGAUUUUUGUGCUUUUCUAAACAGAAAAAAGUCCAAAUGAAGUCCUCUGUGGUUUGCUAUUGACGUUCAUUCUACUUAUUUUUGUAGGAAAGGUGAAGUGGUGUAGUUCGGCUGGAUGGCCCGUUCCUCAAUUUUGUUGUUGUUGAUAACUGCACUUCAUUAGUUCAUUGUAAAAACUGCAGUUCAUUACCACGAUGGUUAGUGAAAGUGUACCCCGUAGAAUUUUGUGUGGUUCGGCCAGUGGAGAGUGCCGAUAUGUAUGGGUGUGUGGCUGUGUAAAACUAUCGGUAGUUGUGUAUGCUUUGUAGCUCACUUUGUUCUCUUGCGCUGUUCGCUAUAUAACUUUUCCGUGGUCCACUUGGCAAACACAAAACAAGAACAUCUCAAAGCAGCUCACUUCUUAUUAGAUGUAGUUCACUCGCUCUGUCCCUACGGUCCACUUCCAGGCCCAACGCUUGAUGUCAAGUGCACUUCAUCUUGUUUUGGAAAAUUUGGUAGUCUCGAGGUAGUAUUGCGGUUCACCAAUGCUCAGCGUGAAGUGCACUCCAUCUUGUUUGGAAAAAUUUACGUCCC